GACAGAGGGUGCAAACGUUGCUCGGAAUUACUGGGCGUAAAGCGCGCGUAGGCGGCUUUGUAAGUUAGAGGUGAAAGCCCGGAGCUCAACUCCGGAACUGCCUUUAAAACUGCAUCGCUUGAAUCCAGGAGAGGUGAGUGGAAUUCCGAGUGUAGAGGUGAAAUUCGUAGAUAUUCGGAAGAACACCAGUGGCGAAGGCGGCUCACUGGACUGGUAUUGACGCUGAGGUGCGAAAGCGUGGGGAGCAAACAGG
rnacentral:rRNA from 1 species